UCCUGGUUAACCCAGGCAGUCUCAUUAGGGUUCCCGCCUUGACGCGUUGGCAACUAAUGAUAAGGGUUGCGCUCGUUGCUGGACUUAACCAAACACCUCGCGGCACGAGCUGACGACAGCCAUGCAGCACCUAUAUAGAAGCCCUUUCGGGAAAUAUCAUCUCUGAUAUCGUCCUCUACAUUUCGAGCCCAGGUAAGGUUCUUCGCGUUGCAUCGAAUUAAACCACAUGCUCCACUGCUUGUGCGGGCCCCCGUCAAUUCUUUUGAGUUUCACCCUUGCGAGCGUACUCCCCAGGCGGCAUACUUAAUGCGUUAGCUCCGGUACAGAAGGGGUUGAGCCCUCCUACACCUAGUAUGCAUCGUUUAAGGCUAGGACUAC
rnacentral:misc_RNA from 1 species